UCAUUACCGAGUGAGGGCCCUCUGGGUCCAACCUCCCACCCGUGUUUAUUUUACCUUGUUGCUUCGGCGGGCCCGCCUUAACUGGCCGCCGGGGGGCUCACGCCCCCGGGCCCGCGCCCGCCGAAGACACCCUCGAACUCUGUCUGAAGAUUGAAGUCUGAGUGAAAAUAUAAAUUAUUUAAAACUUUCAACAACGGAUCUCUUGGUUCCGGCAUCGAUGAAGAACGCAGCGAAAUGCGAUACGUAAUGUGAAUUGCAAAUUCAGUGAAUCAUCGAGUCUUUGAACGCACAUUGCGCCCCCUGGUAUUCCGGGGGGCAUGCCUGUCCGAGCGUCAUUGCUGCCCUCAAGCCCGGCUUGUGUGUUGGGCCCCGUCCUCCGAUUUCCGGGGGACGGGCCCGAAAGGCAGCGGCGGCACCGCGUCCGGUCCUCGAGCGUAUGGGGCUUUGUCACCCGCUCUGUAGGCCCGGCCGGCGCUUGCCGAUCAACCCAAAUUUUUUAUCCAGGUUGACCUCGGAUCAGGUAGGGAUACCCGCUGAACUUAAGCAUAUCAA
rnacentral:rRNA from 1 species